AUGAAACUAGAGAAAGGUCUUUCUUUCAGUGUAUUUUCAGAAGUUGAACUCAUACAUGCAACCGACAACUUUGACAAUAGCAGAAUACUUGGAAAAGGGGGGCAUGGGACGGUCUAUAAAGGGAUAACAAAUAGUAACAUGCAUGUUGCAAUUAAAAGAUGUGGAUUAGUUGACGAGAGGCAAAAGGAAUUUGGGCAAGAGAUGCUCAUUUUGUCCCAAUUCAAUCACAAGAAUAUCGUUAAGCUUUUGGGUUGCUGCCUUGAGGUGGAAGUUCCAAGUCUAGUAUAUGAUAUGAGUUUGUUCAAAGUGGUAUCCUAUUUGAGCUUAUUCAUGUCAAGAACCAAGCGCUGCAAAUCUCCUUCAGGACCCUCUUAA
rnacentral:rRNA from 1 species